rnacentral:precursor_RNA from 1 species
UGGGGGACAGCAGGGGCAUCAGUGUGGCUGGGGUUCUGAUCCCUCUGCUAUCCCCCAGC